UACGGGGGGGGCAAGCGUUGUUCGGAAUUACUGGGCGUAAAGGGCUCGUAGGUGGCCAACUAAGUCAGACGUGAAAUCCCUCGGCUUAACCGGGGAACUGCGUCUGAUACUGGAUGGCUUGAGAUUGGGAGAGGGAUGCGGAAUUCCAGGUGUAGCGGUGAAAUGCGUAGAUAUCUGGAGGAACACCGGUGGCGAAAGCGACUUUCUGGUCCAAUACUGACGUUCAUGUGCGAAAGCGUGGGGAGCAAACAGG
rnacentral:rRNA from 1 species